CCUACGGGCGGCAGCAGUGGGGAAUAUUGCGCAAUGGGCGAAAGCCUGACGCAGCGACGCCGCGUGAGGGAUGAAGGUCUUCGGAUCGUAAACCUCUGUCAGCAGGGAAGAACGGUCACUGUGCUAAUCAGCAGUGAAUUGACGGUACCUGCAAAGGAAGCACCGGCUAACUCCGGGCCAGCAGCCGCGGUAAUACGGAGGGUGCGAGCGUUAAUCGGAAUUACUGGGCGUAAAGCGCUCGUAGGCGGUAUGUCAAGUCAAGGGUGAAAUCCCCGCGCUCAACGUGGGAACUGCCUUUGAAACUGGCAAACUGGAGUGUGUGAGAGGAUAGUGGAAUGCCAGGUGUAGGAGUGAAAGCCGUAGAUAUCUGGAGGAACAUCAGUGGCGAAGGCGACUAUCUGGCACAUAACUGACGCUGAGGAGCGAAAGCGUGGGUAGCAAACAGGAUUAGAUACCCGAGUAGUC
rnacentral:rRNA from 1 species